rfam:Mustela putorius furo unplaced genomic scaffold scaffold00120, whole genome shotgun sequence.
GUCUACGGCCAUACCACCCUGAACGCGCCCGAUCUCGUCUGAUCUCGGAAGCUAAGCAGGGUCGGGCCUGGUUAGUACUUGGAUGGGAGAAAUGACGAAGCAACUUAGUGACAAAGAGU